UACGAAGGGGGCUAGCGUUGCUCGGAAUCACUGGGCGUAAAGGGUGCGUAGGCGGGUCUUUAAGUCAGGGGUGAAAUCCUGGAGCUCAACUCCAGAACUGCCUUUGAUACUGAGGAUCUUGAGUUCGGGAGAGGUGAGUGGAACUGCGAGUGUAGAGGUGAAAUUCGUAGAUAUUCGGAAGAACACCAGUGGCGAAGGCGGCUCACUGGACCGGUAUUGACGCUGAGGUGCGAAAGCGUGGGGAGCGAACAGG
rnacentral:rRNA from 1 species